rnacentral:lncRNA from 1 species
GAGCACCAAUAUCCUCUAAAAAUAAACAACAUUGUAAAAGUCUAGAACUUAAAAGAAAAUAGAGUCAUGAAUUAAAUGCGAAAGCGAAAUAAUAGAGUUUAGAAUUUACAUUCCUUACACAAUAAUUUAAAAUGUCCGAUAGGGUUACGAGAUUGUUCAUUUUAAAAGAACAAAUAAAAAUCAAAUAAAUAAACAAAAGACAAUAUACUGAGCAUUCUAGGACGACCUUCACUAGCUUUUGAAGGGAGUACGAAUAGUGAACUAAUCACAACCUCUUGUUGAUCGGAAUUUGGUUCUUGGUUCUAUUGAUCUAAAAUAGUUAAUGAAAUGGUGUGCUACACCAUCCCAGUAAGAAAAUUACACUACUCAUCGAUAGAAAACUGAAGGUUGGUAAAAAUCAUAAAAACAAUAACUUUUCCUUUUUAUUUGUCUACUGGUAUCCCUAGGAGUCAGAGGGAUGUCCCACUAUGCGUGGACCAAUAUCCAACAUUGUCAACUAACCAGCCAUCUUCAUACUCCAUCUGGUAUGAGCGCCAAAAAUAUCAUCCCUCAAUACCCCGUUCGGUAUGAGGGUGAAUCGGGUCGUCCCUAUACCCCAUCCUGUAUGAGCGCCAAAAAUAUAAUUUUUUGAUACCUUGUCCGAUAUGAGACAACGUUCACGGUAGGGUUCUCUAUGUAUCCGGUCCGUCCACCAUUUCUUAGGAUAUCCAGUAAGACUACCAUUCAUUAAUUAACAUGACCAAAUAAUUUUCCGUUUGCAUAUUAAUUUUCAAUUCAAAAAAUCAACCGUAAAUCACGCAAGACAAGCAAUAUAUAUAUAUCAAGGAAGCACAACUAAAUCGUUUAAUUAUUUCAGUAUAUCAUCAUGUAUUUAAAGCUGUAAAUUCAACAAUCAGUUACACAGGACAACAAAUAAAUGACUAACGAGUUUUAGCUCCAUUAGUAACCUGUAAUUAUUCUCAAAAUUUUUUAAAUUAUACAAAAUAUAAUAUUAUCGAUUAUUAAGCUUCAAUUCCAUAACAGAGAAUAAGAUGAGGGAUUCUUAUCUGAAUCAAUAUCCGAAAUACUGAAGUUUUUACUUUUCCUACUUGUGAUCCUCUGAUUUUUUGAAUUUUUCUGUGGAGAUUAAAACACGCUUAACGUACUUAAAAAUACUCUAAAAAUCUAAAAUCGGUGUUCAAGACUCUUUUUCAGCCAAUUUCGAGAUUAUAGCAUGGCGGCACCGCCAUGCUUCGGCGAAUAAACACCAUCCGCAGUGGCAGUUUAUCUCGAUCUGGCCAUUUUCGGCCAAUUUCAGCCAAUUUUAUACCCAUCUAUACGAGAAAACACGUUAGGGGGUCUCGAUUGGCUGAAAAAAGUGAAAAAAAGAAAACCUACCGGUGGCGAGAUUUUUCGGUGCGGCAGCUCCGCCGGCUCACCUUGGCGGCUGGGCACUUUUCUUCGAUCAACUUGUAGAAAACAGAACGGUGAACACAAGAGUGAAAAAAUUGCACGAAAUGGGAAAUGAGAAGGAGCUCAUCGGAGGUGGUUGCGGAUUUUGCCUGC